rnacentral:rRNA from 1 species
UACGUAGGGGGCAAGCGUUGUUCGGAUUCAUUGGGCGUAAAGGGUGCGUAGGCGGCGCGGUAAGUCGGGUGUGAAAUCUCGGGGCUUAACUCCGAAACUGCAUUUCGAUACUGCCGUGCUUGAGGACUGGAGAGGAGACUGGAAUUUACGGUGUAGCGGUGAAAUGCGUAGAUAUCGUAAGGAAGACCAGUGGCGAAGGCGGGUCUCUGGACCAACACUGACGCUGAGUGAGCGAAAGCCAGGGGAGCAAACGGG